rnacentral:misc_RNA from 1 species
UUAGUGUAGGUCAAGCUGGGACCACCAACAAGACUGUCCGUGUGCCGAAAAACUUCACACUCAAAGCUCCGGGGCCUGGAUAUACGUGUGGGGUCGCCAAGGUUGUGAAGCCUACUAAAUUUGUGUCAGCAGAUGGAAGGAGGACAACCCAAGCUCUGAUGACAUGGAACGUCACAUGUACAUAUUCCCAAUUUCUUUCUCAGAAGACACCUACUUGCUGCGUAUCUCUUUCGUCUUUCUACAAUGAAACUAUCGUCAACUGUCCGACUUGUGCCUGUGGCUGCCAAAACAAUAUAACCCAACCAGGAAGCUGUGUAGAGGGUGACUCGCCUUAUUUAGCUUCUGCUAUCGAUGGCCCGGGAAAAAACAGCCUAACACCUCUGGUCCAAUGCACGUCACAUAUGUGCCCAGUAAGAGUGCAUUGGCAUGUUAAGCUCAACUACAAAGAUUACUGGAGGGUUAAAAUCACAAUAACAAAUUUCAAUUAUCGGAUGAAUUACACGCAAUGGAACUUGGUUGUCCAACACCCAAAUUUCGACAAUAUCACUAAAAUAUUCAGUUUCAAUUACAAGUCAUUGACUCCUUACCAAGCCAUAAAUGAUACUGCAAUGCUGUGGGGUGUUAAGUUCUACAAUGAUUUGCUAAUGCAAGCUGGCCCUUACGGGAAUGCACAGUCGGAAAUUCUUUUCCAGAAGGACCAGUCGACUUUCACCUUCGAUAAGGGAUGGGCCUUCCCAAGGCGCGUAUACUUCAACGGUGAUAACUGUGUCAUG